AUGGUUAUAGCUUAUAUAAAGCAAAACACUGAAGAUGUUUAUAAUCUGAUAUCAGAUAAUCAAU
rnacentral:tRNA from 1 species